rnacentral:rRNA from 1 species
UACGGAGGGGGCUAGCGUUGUUCGGAAUUACUGGGCGUAAAGCGCACGUAGGCGGCUUUGUAAGUUAGAGGUGAAAGCCCAGGGCUUAACCCUGGAAUUGCCUUUAAGACUGCAUCGCUAGAAUCGUGGAGAGGUGAGUGGAAUUCCGAGUGUAGAGGUGAAAUUCGUAGAUAUUCGGAAGAACACCAGUGGCGAAGGCGACUCGCUGGCCGUCGAUUGACGCUCAUGUGCGAAAGCGUGGGGAGCAAACAGG